CUAGUCUAAUGUACAAGGACAAUAUAUACGCAUGCCAAUUUACCCGACGGAAACAGUCAACAAGUGCCUACUACUUUCUAUUAGAAUAAAUAUUCGGACAGCGAACGGCCUCAUGCUUGUGAAGAAAACAAAUACACAACUCAUGGUGCGUUAGAAUAGUCCAAGUCUUACAACUCGGAAGUACACCUAUGAACCGGUACUGAGGAAACCCUUCGACCCCAGACCCCGGUUUACUAAUAAUAAGUUGAAUACUAAUACUUCUAUAACAUUUUAAAUGCUCCCUACCCAAACGAGAAUCUAAAGGAAAGGGUCGAGGUCUUACCUGUAUAAGAACCUAGGAGUUCUGUACGGACCUUUUAAGUUCCUCGCUGAAGGUGUUUGUCUACAGAUCAAGUUCGUAGGUUUUAUUCUAAAGACACUAAAAACGGUAGCUGCACGCAAAGAACCCUACACAUUUUUUGUUGAGGAACAGAUUUAUGUGGUUUAAUAUAACCCGACACAAUCAGUAUCAUAGACGAUAUUCAUAGUACUUCGAGUAAUAGCACAACCGUCAUGAUAGGUCCAAUCAGAAACGUGGCAACAGACAUAACUAGAAGGAACGGAUGUUCAUGACCGUUUGUUUCUAUAGUCAACUGCGUCAACUCUCCAAGGAGGUCUACGUUGAUCGGGAACCGGGUUGUUCCAAGCGAAUGUGUCUGUAGUGACGCUAGUGAUCGGUGAAGUCUCUGUUCGACCCGGUUCCUCCGAUACCCAGGCACAUGUUUCCACACGAAGGGCCACUACAGGUACAACGGUAGUUUUACAACCAGUCAAGGUACAGGUUACCUCUUCUUAAGUAGUCACUCCACAGGUCGUAGCCUUCGUAAGUGGUACAGUUGCAUCACGCAGACCACCCAAAGACGAGCCUCCUUUACUCCUCCCGAGAACAAAUACUCAUGUACGGGGUGCCUAGAGAACUCUUCAUGUAGAAGAGCGGUCUCUUCUCAAAGAGUACCCUGUUCGAGUUAGUCUAACGAGACCCGUAACGGUCUCCCUAGCUGAUGGACGUGGCUCCCACGCUAUACGUCUAUAAUGUGAAGCUGUAGUUCGGCGUGUUGUAGGACAAUCUGUCACUAAAGUGGGGCUUCUAACGACUGAAAGCCGACCGCUUUGACAUAGGGUCCCUGUUGUCGAAAAACGGCCACUCGCGACGCGCCCCUUGUCAACCGAUGUAUCGAGGGCUCUACCACAGGGCAUCGAAACCGCGGUAUAGAAGGUUCAGACUACAGAUAUCGAAGCCCUACAACAACGACCUCUACCGGCCCCCCGCCUCCUUACACCUAGGUGCUCGCAGUUCUUCGGUCUGUAUGAUGGGUCGAACCCACAUGUUAGUCGACAGGACGGUUCUCCGGUAACCAUAGGUAGUCCAUCUCUCCUUCGACACGUAGCAAGGCGACACCACGUAGGUCUACUUCGGUCUGCUAGCUGGUUGCUACUCGCUCCACGAUCUGUACGAGCUUCGACCGUAGUUACCGGACCUCCACGGAGGGCUCGGGAAGAAGACGCCCCUGCUCAUGCGAGGACGACGUCUAAGAAGUCACAAUAGUCUCUAUUCAUGUAAGAACCUCACU
rnacentral:rRNA from 1 species